UGCGGAGGGGGCUAGCGUUGUUCGGAAUUACUGGGCGUAAAGCGCACGUAGGCGGACUGUUAAGUCGGGGGUGAAAUCCUGGGGCUCAACCUCAGAAUUGCCUCCGAUACUGGCAGUCUCGAGUGCGGGAGAGGUGAGUGGAAUUCCCAGUGUAGAGGUGAAAUUCGUAGAUAUUGGGAAGAACACCAGUGGCGAAGGCGGCUCACUGGCCCGUAACUGACGCUGAGGUGCGAAAGCGUGGGGAGCAAACAGG
rnacentral:rRNA from 1 species